ACGCGCAGAACCUUACCAACCCUUGACAUCCUGUGCCACUACCAGAGAUGGUACGUUCCCUUCGGGGACGCAGUGACAGGUGCUGCAUGGCUGUCGUCAGCUCGUGUCGUGAGAUGUUCGGUUAAGUCCGGCAACGAGCGCAACCCACAUCUUUAGUUGCCAGCAGGUUAAGCUGGGCACUCUAGAGAAACUGCCCGUGAUAAGCGGGAGGAAGGUGUGGAUGACGUCAAGUCCUCAUGGCCCUUACGGGUUGGGCUACACACGUGCUACAAUGGCAGUGACAAUGGGUUAAUCCCCAAAAGCUGUCUCAGUUCGGAUUGGGGUCUGCAACUCGACCCCAUGAAGUCGGAAUCGCUAGUAAUCGCGUAACAGCAUGACGCGGUGAAUACGUUCCCGGGCCUUGUACACACCGCCCGUCACACCAUGGGAGUUGGUUCUACCCGACGACGCUGCGCUAACCCUUCGGG
rnacentral:rRNA from 1 species